rnacentral:rRNA from 1 species
UAUGUAGGGUGCGAGCGUUAAUCGGAAUUACUGGGCGUAAAGCGUGCGCAGGCGGUUAUGCAAGACAGAUGUGAAAUCCCCGGGCUCAACCUGGGAACUGCAUUUGUGACUGCAUAGCUGGAGUGCGGCAGAGGGGGAUGGAAUUCCGCGUGUAGCAGUGAAAUGCGUAGAUAUGUGGAGGAACACCAAUGGCGAAGGCAGCCCCCUGGGAUAACACUGACGCUCAUGUACGAAAGCGUGGGUAGCAAACAGG